rnacentral:lncRNA from 1 species
AUAUCACGAUAGAAGAUAACGAAGAGAAAGAGAAGAGAUGCUAUCUGGCGAAAACUAAAGUGCAAAAUCGAUGUCCGGUCGAUCCAUUCUACAUUUACGUAAGCAGAUCGUGCAUUGAGUGCUCGACAAAGUUCAAUGUUACUUGUAGAAUCAGCGUUAACCCAGAUCUAUUCAUCUAUUGCAACCCUUGCCUCUACUAUGAAACAGUAUGUCGGAAAUGCAGAAUGAAUGGAUCAAUGAGUAACGCGGUUGAGUGAACUAAAUCGUUCAAGAUCAAUUUCCUUUGUGUUAUCUCUUCAAUUAACUGGGUAGCAUCAAUCGUUGAAGAGAACGUAAUUUAGUUUCUAUCGCAACAGCGAAUUGUUCCUUGUUCUGAAACCAGCCCAAGAAGAAGCAUAAUUCCCUGGGACACCAUAUUGGGUAUUCAAUGGUGGUUCACAUUGCACAAUUCCUAUGCUCACCAUGAGGGCAAGGGUUAACUGGAAAUUAAGGCCUGGUUAAUCAUAUCAGACACUGAGGAAUAUUUAUAGGAUACACCUCAAGAAUUACUUCAGAGAUCUACUGAUAUUUGUGGAUUAUACGUUAAAGAUUACUAUAACUAGUAACCUUCGGAAAUCUAUCUGGAAGCUUGCAAACCUAUCAGUGUCUCAAAUGUCAAUAAAACGGCAUUGACCUAAUUAUUGAUUCUUAAUUAUUAAAAUAUUACUAAUAAUAAUAUUCAAGUUGCUAUUCUCUCAUGAUAAUCACAACGCAUAGCGUUAAUAGCAUAAUAAAUGAGUAGUGCGGAGGAAUAAUUAAUUCGAAAGGUAUCAGACAGAUUCCCAGGCGUAGAACAGAUGCGUCGCGUCGAAAGCGCGAGAUGAUCAAGGC